rnacentral:rRNA from 1 species
UACGUAGGGUGCAAGCGUUGUCCGGAAUUAUUGGGCGUAAAGAGCUCGUAGGCGGUCUGUUACGUCUGCUGUGAAAACCCAGGGCUUAACCCUGAGCUUGCAGUGGAUACGGGCAGACUAGAGGCAGGUAGGGGAGAAUGGAAUUCCCGGUGUAGCGGUGAAAUGCGCAGAUAUCGGGAGGAACACCGGUGGCGAAGGCGGUUCUCUGGGCCUGACCUGACGCUGAGGAGCGAAAGCGUGGGGAGCGAACAGG